AAGUGAGGACAACCUCACCGCUCUUUCUCAGUUAGGGACGGCCCU
rnacentral:ncRNA from 1 species